ACCAUUCCCUCCGCACAGCUUCCCUGACAGACUGGAUAAAGCACCUUUAACUGAUCUGUGAGUCACAGCAAGGAGAUGGCGGAGAGGCUUGAAGUGAGUAAUCUCUUUAUGGUCUAUAUUUAUGUGUUCUCCCACAGAGACGUGCAUGGACAGUUUCUAAGGCCGGGUAGCUUUCCUUUGACAUUUGGGACCACCUGCCUGGCAGCCAGGCAACAGAAGAGUCCAGUGUACUUGACAGAAUUGAAGGGAUAAGACGGGAGAAUGAAAGCCAAGUCUUAAGUCAGUGAGCUAAAAUAAUCCAAGGAAGGGCCUGGAAGGAGAGGAAAACCCGAGCCUGCAGCUUUCAGCGUUUGCUCGUGGUGAUGUGUCAUCUAGCCUUGGGCUAGCCUCCUCAGGACAUUCCUUUGGCUGGCUUGUAAAAACAUCCAGUCAAUCAACGUUCCUCUAUUUUUCCUUCUAAUUUUGUGUUUUCUUCAAAAGCUAAUAAGGUUAUUUUUUUCCUCUUUCCUUUUGAGGUUAUAAUAUAAUUACAUUUCUCCUUUCCCUUUACUUCCUCCAAGCUCUUCCACAUACCCCUCCCCGCUCACCUUCAAAUUCAUAACCUUUUUUUCAGCAAUCGUUAUCACAUGUAUAUGUGUGUAUAUACAUAUUCCUAGAUAUAAUCUGUUUAUAUGUAUGUUUUCAGGGCUAACCAUUUGGCACUGGACAGCCAAUCGGUAUGCUCUUCUUGGACAAGGCCACUUCUGUCCCCAGCUUUCCUCUGUCACCCGUAGGUAGCUCUGUGUAGGGUUAAGUUCCAGGGGCUUUUCCCCCAAUCCACCUUGGCACGUCCAUUGGUGGUAUGUUCAGCACGCAUAUGGGAAGUCAUGUUGGUGACAUUUUAAUAUUAUGUGGAAACAGAAUCUCACAGCAAAUUCCCCUUCUGGUUCUUACAAACAAUAUCCCUUGCCCUGCCUUCCUGAAACUUCCCCAAGCCUUCGGUGUGGAAGUUUUGUAGAUCUAUCCACUGGGACCAUUCUCCACAGCUCUGUGUUUUGAUUGGCUGUGGGUUUCUGUAGUGGUGUCCGACUGUUUCAAAGGAAGGUUUCCUUGAUGAGGGGUGAGGACAACACUUACCAGGCUAGACGCUGGAGAAGGGCGUGGGAAGUUCUGAGACAGGGGCUCAUCCUGUAAGGCCUGUUUCCACUAUCUGGGCAUGUAGAUAUUCCGGGCCAUGCUAGACAGAGCGGAAAGGGAGCUGCUCAAGGCGACACGGGUUGGGGUGAGGGAAGACGGUAGCGCAGCAUGAGCUUGGCGUGUUAACUAGAAUUUAGCUCAUAGUUUUCUUCUAUCCCCCCCCCCCCCAAUCUUAAUGACAGGGUCUUGCUUGUCAUCUUGGCUGACCUAGUGCUGUAUAGAUCAGUUUGACUUCAAACUCAAAAUAAUCCUCCUGCCUCGGGCGCCAGAGUGAUGGGAUAGCAGGCAAGAGCCACCGUGCUGGGCUGAACUGCGAUCUCUAUAACAAGUUCUACCAUGCAGAGUUUCCUCCGUUUUCAGGUUCAAGAUUAACUCAACCAAAGAUCAAGGAGAUCCUACCCAUACUCGACAGAGUGGAGUGUUGAGUGUAAGCGGUUUGGGACUCAACAUUCUUACCUCCUCCAUGAGCUGCUCUGACAGGGAAGAUGGGGAUACCUCAAGGCGGCUAGAAAAGCAAAUCUCCAGGAACGACCAAAUCGCACAGACGCUGAGAACAAUCAUGAGCAUGGAAACGAGUGGCUUUCUCUCCUGCAAAAUGAAGAUGUAGACUCAGAAUCCUCAAGGUCUGCUCUCUGCUGUUCUUUAUUUUUCAAGCCAGAAGGCUGCCCACUGGGGCGACCUAGAACUGUAGGUCUGGAAAAAGAAGAGAGCAGCAAGCGCCGGAUUGCGGAGAAGGAAGAAGGGAACACUAAACUGUCCAGAAGCUGGGACACGGACUUUGAAAAUCCAGGUGCCUAAAAUGUCCACCAACUUUACCUUCCAAGUACCAAAAGAUGUCUGCUUUACCUGGCCUGCCUAGUGACCCUAACCAUACUGCCAGGCCUUACGGUGUACUUCCUGAUCAACCCCUUCUGGGUUCCCUUCCCCCUAUCCUGUUGCUACCCCAGGUUCCCUCCCAUUAGUGCCCUUCUAAUCCCUUCUACAUCCGCUAAUUCAAUGAGUCCCGGGUCUGUUGAAUUAAGCCAAAUGCUGUCCCUGCCAGAAUCCUCUAACUGCUCUAAUUGGAAAAACAGCCCCAGCCUCUGCCCAUCAAAGCUGAUUAUAUCGGUGAGCAGAGGGGCCUGGUCCUUGUCCGGGAUGCGCGUUUCACCCUGCCCUGAGCUCAUCCCGCGUUCCCUGGGGCAGUGCAGGAGUCAGCUUGGGAGAGGUGCCUUCCCUGCUUGAAGGAGCAGCAGCUGGCUCUCGGCUUCUCUGACGGCAUAAACAAAUUUGUGCGCAUCACAGGGAACUGGAAACAACUCCUGCUCAAGGCAAGAAGUCAUUUUUUUUUUUUCUCUUCCCCGCAUUCACUUUUCCCUUCCGUGAAUCCCAGAGGAAUUUACUAAGCUGGAGGCAUGGAUUCACUCCAAGAAAAGGUACUCUUGCCUCAGGGACCGUCCCGAGGUCCCACAGUCCAACCACACACCAAUACCCAGGAGCCUGCUCUUUUGAAUCCCGUUCUAGGGGUGGGGAGGUUAGAGCGGUCAUCCAAUCAAGAGCGUGUAUCAUUCAUUGGCUUUGCUGAAACUAGCCUGAAGAGUGGCAGGUUCGGGCCAUCACCCUUUGUUCUGAACAUUUCCACCAUCCUCAAAUCAAUCACCCUCCAGACCCAUGAAGCGGGCAUCCCACUGCACACAACUAAAACACUAAUCGACCUUGCACCUCUGUCAAACCACGGUUGGAAGAGCCCUCCUGCGUAUAUGUUUGCUUUCUACUUUGGUUACCAAAGACUUGCGAGAUGCACACAGGAUGCCGUUUCUUCUAAGAUCUCCAAAACUUAUUACAGCUUCUUGGGUUUUUGCCACACUUGGGGAAUAAAAAGGGCCCUCUGUGUUCUCGUGGCCAAGAUGCUGAGAACAUUCUGGUCCUUUGAUGUAAGUCUGGGAAUACAGUGCUAGUCCAGUUAGGAAGUGUUAGAUGUUUAGCCAAUGUUAAGAAGCUUAGUUGAUUUGGCAUGAAGGGUAAGGCAUUUUAGUAAACCCAAGAAACCAUACACAUGGCCAGUGCUAACCAUCCUGGGGCAGGCAGCAUCUUGGGGCAGGCACCAGUCUAGGAGCUGAGCAACCUCCAGCAAGCAUCAGGAUCACCUGGAGGAUUUAGAGCCAACCUCGGGGGGUGGGGUGGGGUGGGGAUGCUCUAACUACUUGUAUGCUGGGAUGGGCUUGAGGUUCUGCAUUCUUCAGUUCUCAGGUGAUGAUGAUGUGGUACCCACACACAGAAGUGUAUGCACAGACAUUCUAUUAGCAUUAGCACCUCCUUGGUAUUGACUAAUGGCCACAGCAAGGAAGAGCAAGAGCUGCUGCCACUUCACUUACGGGUUUAUGCAUUUGGCCUUAUGCACUUCCUCCUUUUUUCCCCUUUCAGAUCUCUCUCUCUCUCUCUCUCUCUCUCUCUCUCUCUCUCUCUCUCUUUCUCCCCCCCCCCCAGACUGGCCUGGAACUCACUAUCUAUUCCAGGCUAGCCUUCCCAGCGCCACCAUGCCCAGUUCAUAUUUCACUCCUUACAUCUUCUGAUGGAUCAAGUUGAGAACUUGUCUUGAUUACAGUUGUUGGUAAAUAACGCCGCUUACAUUUCCACAAGCAUGCUUUAUAUCCAAAUCUUCCAUUUCACACUCGGGAGACAAGAUCCCACAAUUCCUUAAUGUGCUUACAACAGGGCAUAAUCAAAUCACACAGGAUUUUUGAACAGAAGUGAGAUUGAAUUUAUAGAUUCUUUUCUCCUUCUGGUUAUGGGCGCCCUUGAGAUUUUUCUCUAUAACGUAGAUCUGUGCCCUCUUGGCCCAUCUCAUGGAGGUCUCCCCUUUGAAUCUGGGUCGUGUCCUAUAUGUUAAUUCGAACCUGCCUAGCCCGAACCCCCUAGGCCUGGCCCCAGAUGCUUAGCCAGGUGUCAAGCAUUGGGUCAUACCAGGGCAUUCUCCAGAGCAUGCCUUGUCUGUGAAAACAAUAGUUAUCUUCCAGAACUAAAUAAUAUUACCAUAUCAGGAAUGACUUGCAGUUAUAUAUGAUUCUCUGUGUGUUAUAUAGUAUUCUCGUGUCUCACAGGGCUGAUUUUCCUGGAGUUGAUUUGAUCAGCUAGUGGUCAAACCAUAUCUCUAAGGUUUUACCUAUCCAUCCAUCCAUUGCUUUGUACAGAUAUAAUUCCCAGACUUAAAGUUCUACUAGUCAUUCUAGAGGCCUUGUGACCUCUUGUUGAAAACAACAGAAAUCUAUCUGUUACGUACAGCAAGCUAUUAUUACACACCACUGGGAACAGAUGAAAAGGAAAUAGGAGUGUCUGUUACUGGUCAGUUUUCAGUCUGAAAUGUCCAGAAGUCCAACAACGCUCCCUGAAACAUUUCAGCCCGUUCAUUUGGCUGAAACAUCCUCUUGUCACUGCUUGGGCUCUGAGACCCACUAACUUUGUCCCGCUUGGGCUCUGUGGGAAGACUUGGCUCUCUGUGUCAUUGAAAAGCCAUCCAAUGGGGCUGGAGAGAUGGCUCAGUGGUUAAAAGCAUCGUCUGCUCUUCGAGAGGUCCUGUGUUCAAUUCCCAGCAACCAAAUGGUGGCUCUCGACCAUCUAUAAUGGGAUCUGAUGUCCUCUUCUGGCCUGCAGGUGUACAUGCAGAUAGAGCACUGAUAUACAUAAAGUAAAUAAAUCUUAAAAAAAAAUCUUAAAAAAGAAGAAAAUCUGGUAGGAAAAGCUUUUUUUUUCUUUUCUUUUUUUUUUUUUUUCGGAGCUGGGGACCGAACCCAGGACCUUGCACUUGCUAGGCAAGCGCUCUACCACUGAGCUAAAUCCCCAACCCCAGGAAAAGCUUUUUAAAAAGGCCAUCCAAGUCACUAGCCUCAACCGUUCUCAUUAAAAUACCUUUCCAAUACAGGAGUGCAUGGAGAGUGUUCAGUUUAAUAACUUCUCAAAGCAUAACUAUGUGGCUUCCUUGCUUACUCCUUUAAAAACUCCUCCAGCCACCAGGAUGAUGUUUGACCAUUCCCUGCCUUCCCGAGUCAACCUUCUUUCUCCUCAGCCCUGUUACUCCCCCUCGGAGCUUGUAUCAAGCUUGUGCCUGGCUGGCUAGCUGUGUCCCACAGGGUUCAAAAGGACAAUGUUAAUAUCAUAGCAGCCUUAUUUAUAAUAGCCAGAAGCUGGAAAGAACCCAGAUGUCCUUCAACAGAGGAAUGGAUACAGAAAAUGUGGUACAUCUACACAAUGGAAUACUACUCAGCUAUCAAAAACAAUUUGACUUCAUGAAAUUCAUAGGCAAAUGGAUGGAACUAGAAAAUAUCAUCCUGAGGUAACCCAAUCACAAAAAAAAGAAAGAAAGAAAGAAAGAAAAGAAAAAAGAAAAAGAAAAAAACCACACGUGGUAUGCACUCACUGAUAAGUGGAUAUUGGCUCCAAAGCUCAAAUUACCCAAGAUACAAUCCAUGGACCACAUGAAGCUCAAGAAGAAGGAUGACCAAAGUGCAGAUGCUUCAGUCCUUCUUAGAAUGGAGAAAAUAUUCAUAGGAGGGGAUAUGGAGACAAAGUUUGGAGCAGAGACUGAAGAAAUGGCCAUUCAGAGCCUGCCCUACCUGGGUAUACAGCCCAUUUAUAUAUGGCCACCAAAACUAGAUAAUAUUGAUGAAGCCAAGAAAUGCAUGCUGACAGGAGCCUGAUAUAGCUGUCUCCUGAGAGACACAUCCAGAGCAUGUCAAAUACAGAGGUGAAUGCUAGCAGCAAACCAUUGAACUAAGAACGGGGUCCCCAUUGGAGGAGAGAAAGGAUUGAAGGAGCUGAAGGGGCUUGCAACCCCAUAAGAACAACAAUACCAACCAACUAGAGCUCCCAGGGACUAAACCACUACCCAAAGAGUACACAUGGACAGACUCAUGGCUCCAGCUGCAUAUGUAGCAAAGGAUGGCCUUGUUGGGCACCAACGGGAGGAGAAGCCCUUGGUCCUGCCAAGGCUGGACCCCUCAGUGCAGGGGAAUGUUGGAAGUGGGGGUUGAGGAGGGAGAACACCCUCAUAGAAGAAGAAGAGGGGGAUGGGAUAGGGGGUUUAUGGCUGGGAAACGGGGAAAAGGGAUAACAUUUGAAAUGUAAAAAAUAUUCAAUAAAAAAAAGCAGAAAAACUA